UACGUAGGGUGCGAGCGUUAAUCGGAAUUACUGGGCGUAAAGCGUGCGCAGGCGGUUCGUUAAGUCGGAUGUGAAAGCCCCGGGCUCAACCUGGGAACUGCAUUUGAAACUGGCGGGCUUGAGUAUGGCAGAGGGGGGUGGAAUUCCGCGUGUAGCAGUGAAAUGCGUAGAGAUGCGGAGGAACACCGAUGGCGAAGGCAGCCCCCUGGGCCAACACUGACGCUCAGGCACGAAAGCGUGGGGAGCAAACAGG
rnacentral:rRNA from 1 species